rnacentral:rRNA from 1 species
UACGUAGGGUGCGAGCGUUGUCCGGAAUUAUUGGGCGUAAAGAGCUCGUAGGCGGCUUGUCGCGUCGGAUGUGAAAGCCCGGGGCUUAACUCCGGGUCUGCAUUCGAUACGGGCAGGCUAGAGUUCGGUAGGGGAGAUCGGAAUUCCUGGUGUGAGCGGUGGAAAUGACGCAGAUAUCAGGAGGAACACCGGUGGCGAAGGCGGAUCUCUGGGCCGAUACUGACGCUGAGGAGCGAAAGCGUGGGGAGCGAACAGG